rnacentral:rRNA from 1 species
GAGAUCGGGAUAACACCUGGAAACAGAUGCUAAUACCGGAUAACAACAGAUGAUGCCUAUCAACUGUUUAAAAGAUGGUUCUGCUAUCACUCUUGGAUGGACCUGCGGUGCAUUAGCUAGUUGGUAGGGUAACGGCCUACCAAGGCGAUGAUGCAUAGCCGAGUUGAGAGACUGAUCGGCCACAUUGGGACUGAGACACGGCCCAAACUCCUACGGGAGGCAGCAGUC